GGUGUUUUUCCCAGAGUGAGAUCAAAGCAGAAACUAUUUUUCCACUGUCGCAUGGCCAUCCCUGUAGUGCUAACUGCUUGGCUGAAAUCUGUAGACGCAGCUUGGACGACUUUUCCCCCUCUGUCAAUUCCAAGUCUGUUGAUGACACAGCUACUGAGAGUAAGAUUUCACAACACUGAACUUCCUUACACCUGCCGUUUACAGCUCAUCUACAUUUUGUCAUUUCAUGUGAAAACGGGAACACCCCCUCCAGAAUCCAGUCCACGCUCAAGAUUGUCACCUUCCAAAACAUGAAUCUUAGUGCAAGUGGGACCGCCUUUGAAGUCAUUCCUGCCUCCAUUCCUCUCUCAUUUUAUGUACAUUGACAUUCUGAGUAUUAAAGAAGAAGGUGCUUGUUAGGAAGAAAAGACAAUGCAGCCCAUUGUAGUUGUGUGUUUGGUUCCUGAUAACAUGUUACUCACUAUUACAACAUUACUAGUGUUAUGAAAGAUGCUGCAUGAAAUACAAUC
rnacentral:lncRNA from 11 species